GACGAACGCUGGCGGCGUGCUUAACACAUGCAAGUCGAACGAUGAAGCCGGAGCUUGCUCCGGUGGAUUAGUGGCGAACGGGUGAGUAACACGUGAGCAAUCUGCCCUUGACUCUGGGUUAACUGCGGGAAACUGUAGCUAAUACCGGUUACGACACCUUGGGGCAUCCCAGGGUGUGGAAAGAAUUUCGGUCAAGGAUGAGCUCGCGGCCUAUCAGCUAGUUGGUGAGGUAAUGGCGCACCAAGGCGACGACGGGUAGCCGGCCUGAGAGGGUGACCGGCCACACUGGAACUGAGACACGGUCCAGACUCCUACGGGAGGCAGCAGUGGGGAAUAUUGCACAAUGGGCGAAAGCCUGAUGCAGCAACGCCGCGUGAGGGAUGAAGGCCUUCGGGUUGUAAACCUCUUUUAGCAGGGAAGAAGCGAAAGUGACGGUACCUGCAGAAAAAGCACCGGCUAACUACGUGCCAGCAGCCGCGGUAA
rnacentral:rRNA from 1 species